rnacentral:rRNA from 1 species
GCAUGGCUGUCGUCAGCUCGUGUUGUGAAAUGUUGGGUUAAGUCCCGCAACGAGCGCAACCCUUAUCCUUUGUUGCCAGCGGUCCGGCCGGGAACUCAAAGGAGACUGCCAGUGAUAAACUGGAGGAAGGUGGGGAUGACGUCAAGUCAUCAUGGCCCUUACGACCAGGGCUACACACGUGCUACAAUGGCGCAUACAAAGAGAAGCGACCUCGCGAGAGCAAGCGGACCUCAUAAAGUGCGUCGUAGUCCGGAU